rnacentral:rRNA from 1 species
AAAUUGAAGAGUUUGAUCAUGGCUCAGAUUGAACGCUGGCGGCAGGCCUAACACAUGCAAGUCGAGAGGAAACGAGUUAUCU